UGGGCUUGACAUGUUCCCGACGACCUCAGAGAUGGGGUUUCCCUUCGGGGCGGGUUCACAGGUGGUGCAUGGUCGUCGUCAGCUCGUGUCGUGAGAUGUUGGGUUAAGUCCCGCAACGAGCGCAACCCUCGCCCCGUGUUGCCAGCGCGUCAUGGCGGGAACUCACGGGGGACCGCCGGGGUUAACCCGGAGGAAGGCGGGGAUGACGUCAGAUCAUCAUGCCCCUUACGUCCAGGGCUUCACGCAUGCUACAAUGUCCGGUACAACGGGAUGCGACAUGGCGACAUGGAGCGGAUCCCUGAAAACCGGUCUCAGUUCGGAUCGCAGUCUGCAACUCGACUGCGUGAAGGCGGAGUCGCUAGUAAUCGCGAAUCAGACAUGUCGCGGUGAAUACGUUCCCGGGUC
rnacentral:rRNA from 1 species